UCCGUAGGCAGCAAGCGUUGUUCGGAGUUACUGGGCGUAAAGAGUAUGUAGGCGGUUGGGUAAGUUUGGUGUGAAAUCUCCCGGCUUAACUGGGAGGGUGCGCUAAGGACUGCCUGGCUCGAGUGUGGGAGAGGAAAGCGGAAUUCCUGGUGUAGCGGUGAAAUGCGUAGAUAUCAGGAGGAACACCUGCGGUGUAGACGGCUUUCUGGGCCAUAACUGACGCUGAGAUACGAAAGCGUGGGUAGCAAACAGG
rnacentral:rRNA from 1 species